GUGACCUCGAAUCAGGUA
rnacentral:rRNA from 1 species